rnacentral:misc_RNA from 1 species
GAUGAAGAACGUAGCGAAAUGCGAUACGUAAUGUGAAUUGCAGAAUUCAGUGAAUCAUCGCAUCUUUGAACGCAUAUUGCGCUCUCUGGUAUUCCGGAGAGCAUGCUUGUUUGAGUAUCAGUAAACACCUCAACUUCCAUAUCUUUUUUGAAAUGGGAGUUGGACUUGAGUGAUCCCAACGCUUUUCCUCACCGAAAAGUGGCGGGUUACUUGAAAUGCAGGUGCAGCUGGACUUUUCUCUGAGCUAUAAGCAUAUCUAUUUAGUCUGCCUAAAAAACAGAUUAUUACCUUUGCUGCAGCUAACAUAAAGGAGAUUAGUUCUUGUGCUGACUGAUGCAGGAUUCACAAAGACGGCUUCGGCCGACUUUGUAAACUCGAUCUCAAAUCAAGUAAGACUACCCGCUGAACUUAAGCAUAUCAAUAAGCGGAGGA